AAUAGAUACCCUGGUAGUCCUAGCCGUAAACGAUGAACACUAGGCGUAGUCGGUAUCGACCCCGGCUGUGCCGUAGCUAACGCAUUAAGUGUUCCGCCUGGGGAGUACGGCCGCAAGGCUAAAACUCAAAGGAAUUGACGGGGGCCCGCACAAGCAGCGGAGCGUGUGGUUUAAUUCGUCGCAACGCGAAGAACCUUACCAGGGCUUGACAUGUGGCGGAAAACGGCGGAAACGUCGUCCUCCCGCAAGGGACCGUCAUGCAGGUGUUGCAUGGCUGUCGUCAGCUCGUGUCGUGGGAUGUUGGGUUAAGUCCCGCAACGAGCGCAACCCCCGUGGCAUGUUGUAUCUCUCAUGCCAGACUGCCGAGAGAAACUCGGAGGAAGGUGGGGAUGACGCCAAGUCAGCAUGGCCCUUACGUCCUGGGCUACACACACGCUACAAUGGCCGGUACAACGGGUUGCCAAACCGCGAGGUGGAGCUAAUCCCUUAAAGCCGGUCUCAGUUCGGAUUGCAGGCUGCAACUCGCCUCGCAA
rnacentral:rRNA from 1 species